ensembl:lncRNA
AACAGAAGUCAGCAGAAGUUGGGGAAAGAAAGAAAGAAAGAUAUUAUCCUCUUCAUCUUUUUCUCUCUUUCUCUUUGCACCACCUUUGGGACGUCAUGACGCAGGGUCGCAACAAUGAUUUUUGCUCCAAAGCCAUUACAUCAGUGUCUUCUUUCUCCUCAGUAUGUGCAGCUCUGGGUUACUGCUCUCAGCAGCUCUGGAGAUGUCUGAGAAUGCCAUGAGUCUGUUCCCUCAGCUGAAGCAUGCAGUGAGAUAUCAGGAGAAGACUCCAGGGACAUCUGAUCAAGCCAUCUCAGAACAGGACCACAGGAAUGGAGGUUACAAG